rnacentral:rRNA from 1 species
UUCGGUCCCUAUCUGCCGUGGGCGCUGGAGAACUGAGGGGGGCUGCUCCUAGUACGAGAGGACCGGAGUGGACGCAUCACUGGUGUUCGGGUUGUCAUGCCAAUGGCACUGCCCGGUAGCUAAAUGCGGAAGAGAUAAGUGCUGAAAGCAUCUAAGCACGAAACUUGCCCCGAGAUGAGUUCUCCCUGACCCUUUAAGGGUCCUGAAGGAACGUUGAAGACGACGACGUUGAUAGGCCGGGUGUGUAAGCGCAGCGAUGCGUUGAGCUAACCGGUACUAAUGAACCGUGAGGCUUAACCUUACAACGCCGAAGCUGUU